UACGGAGGAUGCGAGCGUUAUCCGGAUUUAUUGGGUUUAAAGGGUGCGUAGGCGGUCUGUUAAGUCAGCGGUCAAAGCCCGGGGCUCAACCCCGGCCCGCCGUUGAAACUGGCGGGCUGGAGUUGGAGAGAAGUACGCGGAAUGCGCGGUGUAGCGGUGAAAUGCUUAGAUAUCACGCAGAACCCCGAUUGCGAAGGCAGCAUACCGGCGCCCUACUGACGCUGAGGCACGAAAGUGCGGGUAUCGAACAGG
rnacentral:rRNA from 1 species